UGGGGAAUAUUGCACAAUGGACGGAAGUUUGAUGCAGCGACGCCGCGUGGAGGGUGUAGGCCUUCGGGUUGUGAACUCCUUUUUCUCGCGAAAAAGGCACAUUUUUGGCUGUGUUGAUGGUCGUGGGGGAAGAAGCGCCGGCUAACUACGUGCCAGCAGCCGCGGUAAUACGUAGGGCGCGAGCGUUGUCCGGAUUUAUUGGGGGUAAAGAGCUCGUAGGUGGUUCGUCGCGUCUGUCGUGAAAGCCAGCAGCUUAACUGUUGGUCUGCGGUGGGUACGGGCGGGCUUGAGUGCGGUAGGGGUGACUGGAAUUCCUGGUGUAGCGGUGGAAUGCGCAGAUAUCAGGAGGAGCACCGAUGGCGAAGGCAGGUCACUGGGCCGUUACUGACACUGAGGAGCGAAAGCGUGGGGAGCGAACAGG
rnacentral:rRNA from 1 species